rnacentral:rRNA from 1 species
AGCACGCCGCGUGAGUGAAGAGGUUUUCGGAUCGUAAAGCUCUGUUGUUGGAGAAGAACGUGUGUGACAGUGCUGGUCCUCCAGUGACGGUAUCUUACCAAAAAGGGACGGCUAAUUACUUCCCACCACCCGGGGUAUUACUUAGGUCCCGACCGUUGUCCGGAUUUAUUGGCCGUAAAACAACCCCAGGCGGUUUAUUAAUUCUGAGUUUAAAGGCUCGGCUUUACCCUGUGUUCGCUUUGGAAACUGUUAUUCUUGAGUGCAGAAGAGGAGAGUGGAACUCCAUGUGUAGCGGUGAAAUGCGUAUAUUUAUGGAAGAA